GACGAACGCUGGCGGCGUGCUUCAUACAUGCAAGUCGAACGAGAAGCUGACUUCGGUCAGUGGACAGUGGCGGACGGGUGAGUAAUAUGUAGGAAAUCUGCCUUUAGGAGGGGGACAACAGAGGGAAACUUCUGCUAAUACCCCAUAUGAGCGUAGCUGAAAUGCUAUUCUUGAAAACUCCGGUGCCUAAAGAUGAGCCUGCAUCUGAUUAGCUAGUUGGUAGUGUAAUGGACUACCAAGGCGACGAUCAGUAGCUGGUUUGAGAGGAUGAUCAGCCACAAUGGGACUGAGACACGGCCCAUACUCCUACGGGAGGCAGCAGUAGGGAAGUUUGCGCAAUGGGCGAAAGCCUGACGCAGCAACGCCGCGUGAACGAUUAAGCCCUUCGGGGUGUAAAGUUCUGUCAGUGGGGACGAAACUUGACGGUACCCACAGAGGAAGCACCGGCUAACUCCGUG
rnacentral:rRNA from 1 species